UUCAACAGACAUACAGUCACAAGGCUUUAGAAUGGUGAGCUGCACCAUCAUGCUCAAUGCGAGGAAAGUUGGGUGCACACUGUAGAGACUCAUGCUGCCACAGUCAAUGGUUUGAUCAAAAGUUGUUCCUUCCAUCUCAAGACUACAGAAGGCAAGAGUCAUUACUGCUCCCACCAUUCGAUCAUUUGCUCAUUUGCCUGGAAAUGUCAGGGCCAUGCACUCAUCUAUUGACACCCUUUCACUUCUUUGACACAUCCAAAUAAACAUUGAUGAAAAGAUUGAAAUAUUGAUUAUCAAGCUGAGAUAGUUUCUCAGCUUGAUGAAAUCUCUCUCUUAUCUGAACACAAUAAGAGAACAAAAUUCAAUAAUUUUCUAGCAGCAUUCUUAUCCAACUCAUUUUGAAACCGCAAAUAUAUGCAGUGAGCUCUAUUGUACCUGUAAGGCUCUAUAUUGACCCCAUCAAUCAUGUUAAUCAAUCAUCCACUGACCUCAACAUAAUUAGAAUGAUGUCUGUGUACAAAAUACUUUCACUCAGAGGUAUAUUUACUGAGAGGAUAAUACAGUAUGCUUAAAAAGUAGUUUAGGUUGACAGCAUCUGUUAAAAAAAUUGACACUAAUUUAAAUGUGUAAUAUAACAAUGUCUCUUGACACAUCCAGAUAUUGAAGAUAGAGUGUACUGUAAAUGCAAUGGCUUGGGACUGAUGGAAUGCAGUAAACCACUGCAUUACCAGUGCAAUUGAAAAAAUUGUAAUGGGUCUGGAAAAUCAUAGUGGUUAUAAUCAAAUGUCAUGCACCUGUUACUAAGUAUGAUGAGAGAGAGAGAGAGGCGAAUGUGUGCUCUCCUGUACCGAUAAUAAUUGGGCAGAUAUUAGGAGAGAGAGAUCGUGGUGGAAUUUUGAUAGGCAGUGGACAUUUCAUUGUCCUUGUAGAACAUAGGAGGGUUACAUGGAGGAAGCAUCAGGUCCUCUGUCAUCAACAUAAGAUUGAACAAAUAUCAAUAAGGUAAGAAUUUUUCAUUAACAUACAUUCUUGAGAAAAAAAACUUUUACUUUAAGUAAUUAUCUUUUUACAGUUUUGUAUUUCUUUUUACAUGUCAAAAAGACAGUCAAAUUCAUGUAUCGUCCUGUCAAAACGUAGACAUUCCUUCUAGACCUUAUUUUUGUUAGUCUACAAGUAACUGUCACUAAGCUAUAGCAUAUAUAUGCCUAUGCAUUAAAUAUGUCUAAAUGAUAGAGCAGGCAAAGUGUAGGCAGUAAACGUUCUAGAGCACGGCAGUAGACUAUAUACCUUAUACUGUAUGUAUACAACUAAAAGUAAGAUAUGCCUACAUUGCAUUGAUUGUUCAGGUCUUGUGUUGCCAAACGUCAAUAAAUGUGCUCUGAUAUUUAGUAAAUAGUGUGAUCUGAUAGCAUCCAGUGAUGUGCUUUUUUUCUCAGUAUUUAUUUGUGCAAUAUAAUUUGGGGGGCUUGGAAAAUACUUCCUUUACGUUGUAUCAUAAAUUCAGUUAUUAUGUCAUGUUGAGAAAUAAUUGCUAAAUAUACUUCUGGAUUAUUAUAAUUUUUUUACCAUUACUUAUUUUAAAAGGGUCCGUUUUACAAAAUGCAUACAUUAAUACAAAAAAUGUCCCAGUACAAAUAUAUGCCUAUUUAAAGAUACAUUUUACGCAUCCCGUUUCUCAUGGCUGGCAUUUCUCCUCCUACAGUUUACACAGUAUCCCACCUGGACAUCAUGAUGGGAAACAGCUGGGCACUGGCCAUAUUGACUUUACUGGUUAUCCUCAUCUCAUGUCCAAUGGAGUCUACAACUCACAACUGCAGUUCAGACAAGACUACCUCAGCAGUGAUUUAACUCAUUCUAAGAGUUACAGCGACAUCGACUAUGACACCUUUGUGGGUCUGAUGGGCAAGAGAAGCGCAGCAGACAUAGAUGGCGUCUUUGUCGGCCUCCUGGGUCGCAGGAGCUCCAGGUCAGGUGAGUAACUACCCACUGGGCAAAACACUGAUUCACCCAGUUUUACAUAUCAACAACAAAAACCUGUAAUGACAUUGAAUCAACGUAGAAAACUGAUUGAAUUUCUUAAAGUCAUCAACAUAAGGAAAGUAUUUUUUCACCCAACUAAAUCCAAUGACAUGCAUUGUUCUGUCAACCUGAAUUCAGGUUAGUUGACAACCAAAUAUAAAUCAAAAAUAGACCUUUAACUUAUGUCUGUGCCCAGUGGGUAGCUACUGUACACUACAGAGCAGUUGCUGGGGAGACGGAAGGCAAAACCUGGAGACAGUUUGCCCUCCAGUGGCAUUUUGUGGAAUUCCCAAAUGCCAAAGUAGAUGACUAUUGAAUGCUGAUGACUAUUGAAUACGUGUUGCAUAAUUAAGCCUGUUUAACUUGUUGAUCUGUACAUGGUGAGAGCCAUUCCUCAGCCCUGGAGUGGGGAAUACCCACAGCCAAGAGGAGGAAUUCUCAUCAAGAAUGGGAGACUGAGGCACGUAGGACUUUCUCCUGACUAGAACCAAAAAAUGUGAUCAUAUUACUCCAGUACCGGCCUCCCUACACUGGCUUCCUGUUAAGGCAAGGGCUGAUUUCAAGGUUUUACUGCUAACCUACAAAGCUUUACAUGGGCUUGCUCCUACCUAUCUUUCCGAUUUGGUCCUGCCAUACAUACCUACACGUACGCUACGGUCACAAGACGCAUCCUGGCCAUGUUCUGUUAUAAUCUCACCCCCGCACAGCCAGAAGAGGACUGGCCACCCCUCAUUGCCUGGUUCCUCUCUAGGUUUCUUCCUAGAUUUUGACCUUUCCCAGGUUUUUCCUAGCCACCGUGCUUCUACACCUGCAUUGCUUGCUGUUUGGGGUUUUAGGCUGGGUUUCUGUAGAGCACUUUGAGAUAUCAGCUGAUGUACGAAGGGCUUUAUAAAUAGAUUUGAUUUGAUGAAAUGACCACACCAAACAUUACAAAAACACUUCAAAGUCAUCUCAGUGAUUGUGACCCAUACAUGUUAGAGACCAUUAUGGUCUAAUAUGGAGUGAAUUGAAUAUUCAUAAAUGAAUUCUCUAACAGAAAGCCUCCAAGAUUGUAUCAGUUAUCAGCCCUGUGCUGGCUGGAAUGUUGUGCUACUGCUUAGUGCUGCUCUGUCAUCUUGCUAGAUCUAACCACAGUUUUGUACUCCUUACCAUCUCUGCUUAGAUUUGCACCCGGUGUGUAGGGUCCUGCUUCGUCCACGACGCCAGACUGUAUUCACAUCAUUCACCCAGAGUUCCUCGAAAUAGGAUUUACUAAGAAACCAUAGACUUGCCGUGAUGCCACUGCUUAUUUCUCACCACCACAAGAGGAUGAUUCUGUAAACACACAUGUAAAGUACUGCAAACUAAUGUAAUGUUAUUUCUGUAUUUUACAAUAUGUUACCUAAUGUAUUACAACCAUGUCUAAGUCAUACCAGAUUAAGGGUCAUAUACCAUACCAGCCUUUGGUAACCCCUAGAGCACCUCUGAGAUGGCAUUUUACACAGUCAAUAAAAUCAGCCUAUCUGAUGAGAGAUUAGACAUAGACAGCUGAGUAAAAUUAUGCCUUUGAGAACAUACUGCAAAGUAUGGUUAUGACACAAAUAACCAUAUGGUCACUGCCAACAACCAGAUACAGUUCUAUACACAGUUCUCUUUUACAGGAAUGUGAACUAUAUAGCAGAUUGUAGGAUUGGGUUGCUUGUACCAACACACACACCCCAGAAAGAGAAAGCCGGAGGCUUGGUAAUAGGCAGGUGUUUAAGACAGACUUAACUCUGAUCCAUUUGAUCUUCAGUUAAGAACAAAUUCUUAUUUAUAAUGACAGCCUACCAGGGAACAGUAGGUUAACUGCCUUGUUCAGGGGCAGAAUGACAGAUUUUACCUUGUCAGCUCGGGGAUUCGGUCCAGCAACCUUUCGGUUACUGGCCCAACGCUCAAACCACUAGGCUACCCUCCGCUCCAAUGAAUGGUGACAUUAUACAAGAAUGAUGCCUUUGUGGUUGAAGGAGUGGAGUAGACCUGCCCCGCACCUUUCACACUGACGCAUGUGACUAACGUCAUGCACUGUUUCCCCCCUAUAGAGUACAUUCAGACUUGACAGCUCCAGAGCUUUUAUGAGCCAUUCAGUCACCCAUCUGGACAAAAGCCAGUUGGGUGACUAAGAUCUCCACUGUAGUAAAGAACAGGACUUAGUUAUUUGAUCAGUAUUGUGAAAUGAAGGCUCGUAAGGUGAACAGGAAGUAGAUGGGACAAGAAAGUGAGGAGGAUACUCCCAAGUCAUUCUUGUUUAAAACAGGUUUAAAAUACAGAAUCGUACAGCAUACAUGCUGAUUUGGUUUACUGUUUAAGUUACAAUGGCUGUACAUGCAGGCUGCCAUGUGACAAAUGUCAAUACACCUAUACAGACCCUCUGUUUGUGAAAAUGGUGUCUGACCAAUAUACAGCACCACGUACAGGAUGUUA